CUGAGGUCUCUGGGGAAGGCAGAGCUGUGGUCUAGAAGAUGAGACUGUUGGGUUUUCUACUUUGCCUGGUGACGGCUCCCCAAGGUGUCCUGUCCCAGGUGCAGCUGCAGGAGUCGGGCCCAGGACUGGUGAAGCCCUCACAGAGGCUGUCACUCACCUGCACUGUCUCUGGAUCCUCCAUCACAUCCAGCAGUUAUGGUUGGAGCUGGAUCCGCCAGCCUCCAGGGAAGGGGCUGGAAUGGCUGGGAAGUGGUUACUAUUAUAGAUCAUCGUGGAAUACAGACUACAGCCCCUCCAAAAGGGCCGCAUCUCCAUCACUGCUGACACGUCCAAGAACCAGUUCUCUCUGCAGCUGAUCUCCGUGACCACUCAGGACACGGCCGUGUAUUACUGUGCAGGAAGCACAGUCCCUGUGUGCACUGUGACCAGGGGCAGCUUUGGCUUGGACACCUGCCUCACUGCUGCCAAAUCGGGCAACUGUCUGAUGAUGUAG